AUUGAACGCUGGCGGCAGGCCUAACACAUGCAAGUCGAGCGAGCGGCGGACGGGUGAGUAAUGUAUGGGGACUGCCCGAUAGAGGGGGAUAACUACUGGAAACGGUGGCUAAUACCGCAUACUAUCGGAUAACCCAUAUGUGAUUAGCUGGUAGGUGGGGUAAAGGCUCACCUAGGCGACGAUCUAUAGCUGGUCUGAGAGGAUGAGAAGCCACACGGUGCAUGAGACAUGGCCCAGACUCCUACGGAGGCAGCAGUGGGGACUAUUGCACAAGGGGCGCAAGCCUGAGGCAGCCAUGCCGAGUGUAUGAAGAAGGCCUUAGGGUUGUAAAGUACUUGCAGCGGGGAGGCGUUACCCGCAGAAGAAGCACCGGCUAACGCCGUGCCAGCAGCCGCGGUAAUAC
rnacentral:rRNA from 1 species